AGCGAACGCUGGCGGCAGGCCUAACACAUGCAAGUCGAACGAACCCUUCGGGGUUAGUGGCGGACGGGUGAGUAACACGUGGGAACGUGCCUUUAGGUUCGGAAUAACUCAGGGAAACUUGUGCUAAUACCGAAUGUGCCCUUCGGGGGAAAGAUUUAUCGCCUUUAGAGCGGCCCGCGUCUGAUAAGCUAGUUGGUGAGGUAAUGGCUCACCAAGGCUACGAUCAGUAGCUGGUCUGAGAGGAUGACCAGCCACAUUGGGACUGAGACACGACCCAAACUCCUACGGGAGGCAGCAGUGGGGAAUCUUGCGCAAUGGGCGAAAGCCUGACGCAGCCAUGCCGCGUGGAUGAUGAAGGUCUUAGGAUUGUAAAAUCCUUUCACCGGUGAAGAUAAUGACUGUAGCCGGAGAAGAAGCCCCGGCUAACUUCGUGCCAGCAGCCGCCGUAAGAC
rnacentral:rRNA from 1 species